AUUGAACGCUGGCGGCAUGCCUAACACAUGCAAGUCGAACGGCAGCGCGGGCUUCGCUCUGGCGUCGAGUGGCGGACGGGUGAGUAAUGCAUCGGAAUGUGCCCAGUAGUGGGGGAUAGCGUGCCGAAAGGGGCACUAAUACCGCAUACGACCUGAGGGUGAAAGUGGGGGAUCGAAAGACCUCGCGCUAUUGGAUGGGCCUAUGUCGGAUUAGCUAGUUGGUGGGGUAAAGGCUUACCAAGGCGACGAUCCGUAGCUGGUCUGAGAGGAUGACCAGCCACACUGGGACUGAGACACGGCCCAGACUCCUACGGGAGGCAGCAGUGGGGAAUUUUGGACAAUGGGCGCAAGCCUGAUCCAGCCAUGCCGCGUGCGGGAAGAAGGCCUUCGGAUUGUAAACCGCUUUUAUUCGGGAAGAAAUCCUGUGGGCUAAUACCUCGGGGGUAUGACGGUACCGAAAGAAUAAGCACCGGCUAACUACGUG
rnacentral:rRNA from 1 species